GAUGAAGAACGCAGCGAAAUGCGAUACGUAAUGUGAAUUGCAGAAUUCAGUGAAUCAUCGAAUCUUUGAACGCAUAUUGCGCUCUCUGGUAUUCCGGAGAGCAUGCUUGUUUGAGUAUCAGUAAACACCUCAACUUCCAUAUCUUUUUUGAAAUGGGAGUUGGACUUGAGUGAUCCCAACGCCUUUCCUCACCGAAAAGUGGCGGGUUACUUGAAAUGCAGGUGCAGCUGGACUUUUCUCUGAGCUAUAAGCAUAUCUAUUUAGUCUGCCUAAAAAACAGAUUAUUACCUUUGCUGCAGCUAACAUAAAGGAGAUUAGUUCUUGUGCUGACUGAUGCAGGAUUCACAAAGACAGGCUUCGGCCGACUUUGUAAACUCGAUCUCAAAUCAAGUAAGACUACCCGCUGAACUUAAGCAUAUCAAUAAGCGGAGGA
rnacentral:misc_RNA from 1 species